AACACUCUAACAGACAGACAUCAAUUUUCAAUCCAGCCCAACUCAAACCAACAUGGCCACAUUAAAUAAACAUUACACAGCGUGUUCAAGCAAAUCGCACAUUCAAAUCACAAGAUAGAUAAUAAAGAUUGAGUAUUAAUGUUUCGUUUUCGCUUGUUUUGCCGAUUGUUCCACCUCGCACCCUUGGAGGGUUAACCUCCCUAAAAUGGUAAAAUCAUAUCAAAAUAUGAAUAUUUUAUCAGAAUUUUUCCUUUCUUUCUGGCCUGAGGUUUAUUCCUUCCAUUCCAGGGGGUAGCAGUAGCCCACCACUAGGCAAUCGAAACGGUUUGCUUCUCUUUAUUGGUUGAGUAGGCCGUGAACAAAUCAGGCCCGCGGUGUAAUCUGCAACACAAAUCGGGGAAGCCUCCACAUCGUCAUACGUCGAGUUGCCAUUGCUUUUCUUCCUUCUUGGACGCUACGCGCCGUCGUCGAUUAGUUUUGCAUAACCUUCUUCUCCAUUAUUGAAGCUGGACAACGCCCUUAGCGUGCGGAUAAGUCGAACAGCUCGCGCCAUUGGAUCGAUACAGCACACCACCUCCCUCCGGAAGACGUUUGGAAUCCGGCUCUCCAGCAAGCAGUGGAUACUCAUCAGCAGUGCGAAAAGAAAGCGAUGAAGCCAACGGUAAGAACGCGCGUGCUAUUUCCGACAGCGUAUCAGACAGCUUCUGCAAUUCCACACUCUCUGACAGUCGGUAAGCCCUACACAUACAUCCCACUCCCUUGAGGCUUUCGGCCUAUGUUGGGAUGUGAGCUGAAGGAGCUGCCGGUAACGUCUGGUGUUUUUGGAGUGUGAAAAGGGUACUCCCGGCACCCUCUAAAGUACCUCCACUUCUAGGCUCUUGUCCCUUUUCGUCCGGGGAACCGAUGCCGGUGUCAUAAUAUGAUCACGCGCAUGGCCCUUGCGGACUGCCAGCCAGUAGAGCACCACCGCAAAAAGCGCAACAGUGUGUAUUCGAUCUGGGACGGACGGCGUAUUUCGCUUCAUCUCCGAUUUGGAGAUAUUGGUAUGUGUGUGUGUGAGGGAGAAAGAGCGAACGAGUGCACAAUACAGAACACUCUGCACAGUAGCCACCGAGACCAGCAGGCACCGAAACCUUCCCCGUGUAUCGAUCGAAGCAACCAGCCGGCUCGAUAAAUCUCUAUUUUCUCUCACUCCAUCUGGACAGCACAAAACAGAAUCCUGGAGGAGUGUGGUAGCAUGAGCCACAAAAACUCCGGAUGACCGGUACGAAAAAUCGGUCCUCACUCCAGUACCACGAACAGGUUGGACCUGCAACUAUCCACCGGGGUACGUUGACGAACAGGUUUUCCUUGACCAUCGCCAUCCGUGGGCAUUCCGCGUGUUCAAGUACCCCUCUCGGCGUACGCACACCAACACACCGUUCUUCUGUUGCGCGUUGGUUGCAUCAGCGUGGCGCUCUCGCUGCACCCAAGCCAAGAUCGUAAAAUGUAAGCCAGGAGCCUUGGCAUUUCUCCCCGAAAUGGGAUUGCUGUGUAGAAGAGGGCACAGGGAGAAGAGGUUGGGAGAAAUGAUUUGAAUAAAAAUAAAACUGAUAAUGUAAAGCCCUGUAUGA